rnacentral:rRNA from 1 species
GAUGAACGCUGGCGGCGUGCCUAAUACAUGCAAGUCGAGCGAACAGACGAGGAGCUUGCUCCUCUGACGUUAGCGGCGGACGGGUGAGUAACACGUGGAUAACCUACCUAUAAGACUGGGAUAACUUCGGGAAACCGGAGCUAAUACCGGAUAAUAUAUUGAACCGCAUGGUUCAAUAGUGAAAGACGGUUUUGCUGUCACUUAUAGAUGGAUCCGCGCCGCAUUAGCUAGUUGGUAAGGUAACGGCUUACCAAGGCAACGAUGCGUAGCCGACGUGAGAGAGUGAUAGGCGACACUGGAACUGAGACACGGUCCAGACUCCUACGAGAGGCAGCAGUCUGGAAUGUUCCGCAAUGGGCGAAAGCAUGACGGAGCAACGCCGCGUGAGUGACGACGGUCUUCGGAUCGUAAAACUCUGUUAUUAGGGAAGAACAAAUGUGUAAGUAAAUAUGCACGUCUUGACGGUACCUAAUCAGAAAGCCACGGCUAACUACGUG